GCCUCUAUCGUCUAACGGUAAGAUAGCUGAUUUGUAUUCAGUGGAUGCGGGUUCGAUUCCUGUUGGAGGCU
rnacentral:tRNA from 1 species